CAACUUAUAUCAAAUGGAAAUAAGGACGGCAUUGAACCACGUAUUGAUCUUAAGGGAUACAUACUUGGAAAUCC